rnacentral:tRNA from 1 species
GCCUUGAUAGCUCAGUGGUAGAGCACCGGCAUGGUAAGCCGGAGACACGAGUUCAAUCCUCGUUCAAGGCUCCA